rnacentral:rRNA from 1 species
CACGGGGGGAGCAAGCGUUGUUCGGAAUCACUGGGCGUAAAGGGAGUCUAGGCGGUCAGAUAAGUGGAAUGUGAAAUCCCUCGGCUUACCCGAGGACCUGCAUCCCAAACUGUCUGGCUUGAGUAUGGGAGAGGAUGAGGGAAUUCCUGGUGUAGCGGUGAAAUGCGUAGAUAUCAGGAGGAACACCGGUGGCGAAAGCGCUCAUCUGGCCCAAUACUGACGCUGAAGCUCGAAAGCUAGGGGAGCAAACGGG